CCGGCCUAACACAUGCAGGUCGAACGGGAACAGGAAGAAGCUUGCUUCUUUGCUGAUUACUGGCGGACGGGUGAUUAAUGUCUGGGAAACUGCCUGAUGGAGGGGGAAAAAUACUGGAAACGGUAACAAAUACCGCAUAACGUCCCAAAACCAAAGAGGGGGACCUUCGGGCCUCUUGCCAUCGGAUGUGCCCAGAUGGGAUUAACUAAUAGGUGGGGUAACGGUUCACCUAGGCGACGAUCCCUAGCUGGUCUGAAAGGAUGACCAGCCCCACUGGAACUGAAACACGGUCCAAACUCCUACGGGAGGCAGCAGUGGGGAAUAUUGCACAAUGGGCGCAAGCCUGAUGCAUCCAUGCCGCGUGUAUGAAGAAAGCCUUCGGGUUGUAAAGUACU
rnacentral:rRNA from 1 species